UAGAGCUGUUACCUAUCUGUUCUGGAGACAUGGGUUCGAUUCCGGCCUAGGCAGGUUUUGUGGGAAUGAAUGGAUGGUGAAUGGAUGAGUGCGAGUAACUGUAUGUGUGAAUUGAUUACUAUGAAUGACUUAAUUCACAAUAAUCAAUUAGCACAAACAGUGAUUCGGAAUGAAUGGGUGAGUGGGAAUGACUGUCUGGGAGAAUGGAUGGCUGGGAGUGAGUGCACUCAUUCACAGUCAUCCAAUCUCCCAGACAGUCAUUCGAAAUGAAUGUGUGAGCGAAUGGAUCCCUUCACUAGACAGUUGUUCCCACAAACUGCCCAUGGCAGGAAACAAACCCAUGUCCCCAGAACAGAUAGGAAACAGCUCACCUGCCGAGGCACUUCUUGUUA